rnacentral:rRNA from 5 species
AAAUUGAAGAGUUUGAUCAUGGCUCAGAUUGAACGCUGGCGGCAGGCCUAACACAUGCAAGUCGAACGGUAACAGGAAGCAGCUUGCUGCUUUGCUGACGAGUGGCGGACGGGUGAGUAAUGUCUGGGAAACUGCCUGAUGGAGGGGGAUAACUACUGGAAACGGUGGCUAAUACCGCAUAACGUCGCAAGACCAAAGAGGGGGACCUUCGGGCCUCUUGCCAUCAGAUGUGCCCAGAUGGGAUUAGCUUGUUGGUGAGGUAACGGCUCACCAAGGCGACGAUCCCUAGCUGGUCUGAGAGGAUGACCAGCCACACUGGAACUGAGACACGGUCCAGACUCCUACGGGAGGCAGCAGUGGGGAAUAUUGCACAAUGGGCGCAAGCCUGAUGCAGCCAUGCCGCGUGUAUGAAGAAGGCCUUCGGGUUGUAAAGUACUUUCAGCGGGGAGGAAGGUGUUGUGGUUAAUAACCACAGCAAUUGACGUUACCCGCAGAAGAAGCACCGGCUAACUCCGUGCCAGCAGCCGCGGUAAUACGGAGGGUGCAAGCGUUAAUCGGAAUUACUGGGCGUAAAGCGCACGCAGGCGGUCUGUCAAGUCGGAUGUGAAAUCCCCGGGCUCAACCUGGGAACUGCAUUCGAAACUGGCAGGCUUGAGUCUUGUAGAGGGGGGUAGAAUUCCAGGUGUAGCGGUGAAAUGCGUAGAGAUCUGGAGGAAUACCGGUGGCGAAGGCGGCCCCCUGGACAAAGACUGACGCUCAGGUGCGAAAGCGUGGGGAGCAAACAGGAUUAGAUACCCUGGUAGUCCACGCCGUAAACGAUGUCUACUUGGAGGUUGUGCCCUUGAGGCGUGGCUUCCGGAGCUAACGCGUUAAGUAGACCGCCUGGGGAGUACGGCCGCAAGGUUAAAACUCAAAUGAAUUGACGGGGGCCCGCACAAGCGGUGGAGCAUGUGGUUUAAUUCGAUGCAACGCGAAGAACCUUACCUGGUCUUGACAUCCACAGAAGAAUCCAGAGAUGGAUUUGUGCCUUCGGGAACUGUGAGACAGGUGCUGCAUGGCUGUCGUCAGCUCGUGUUGUGAAAUGUUGGGUUAAGUCCCGCAACGAGCGCAACCCUUAUCCUUUGUUGCCAGCGGUUAGGCCGGGAACUCAAAGGAGACUGCCAGUGAUAAACUGGAGGAAGGUGGGGAUGACGUCAAGUCAUCAUGGCCCUUACGACCAGGGCUACACACGUGCUACAAUGGCGCAUACAAAGAGAAGCGACCUCGCGAGAGCAAGCGGACCUCAUAAAGUGCGUCGUAGUCCGGAUUGGAGUCUGCAACUCGACUCCAUGAAGUCGGAAUCGCUAGUAAUCGUGGAUCAGAAUGCCACGGUGAAUACGUUCCCGGGCCUUGUACACACCGCCCGUCACACCAUGGGAGUGGGUUGCAAAAGAAGUAGGUAGCUUAACCUUCGGGAGGGCGCUUACCACUUUGUGAUUCAUGACUGGGGUGAAGUCGUAACAAGGUAACCGUAGGGGAACCUGCGGUUGGAUCACCUCCUUA